rnacentral:lncRNA from 1 species
UUAGCAAUUUGUAAUGGCUGGCCAGAUUGUUGGUCUCUCGAGUUAUAAGACACAUAGGUCUUGACAGAUAAAGAAUGACAUGGUGAACACGUAGGCUGUACGCAACUACCAGGUGGCGGUCGGAUCGGGCAACACAUAAUCACCAUGGGCGAUACGUGGCUGAAUGGUCGACCACUUGAACCCCCUUAAUUGGUGCAGUCAGCCAACAUGGGCAUCAGGUGUGGUGAACAUCACUCCAUGCCUUCACCCAAAAUGCCACACAUUCCCUUCAUGUUGCUGGCAAGACAUUAUAGAAGAUUGUGAGAUCAGUAAAUCUCUGCCAUUGAGAUUCUUAUGGACAUACUCUUCUCUUUGUAUACUAAUUGGUAUUGUCUAAUAUUCUGUCUGCCAUUUCUUCCACAUUUAUGCAUACCAGAAGAUGUUUCCAGUGCCAAUGACUUCUGACAAGUUUGGUUGGCCCAGUAGAUUAUGGCACAAGAGAAAAGUGGAUGAUGGUGGACAGUUCAUCUCAAGUGUCUUCUGCUGAAGAGGAAAUCUGAGUAUGGCUGUCGCAACAAUUUCCGCAGGAAGACUACUAGUACUUUAGCUAGAAAAGGUGCUGGUAACUUUUAGCUGGCACUCUCAGAUCAUCGGUGAUUGCAACCAUCAUUGUCGUUCAAGCCAUGAGCUGGAACCUUGUAUUGCUUUUUCUGGGUUUUCGAUUGGGUUCUCAAUCUGAAGUGGCAACUAUUAGAGUGAUUACUGGAUCAGGCAAUCCUAGCUUUGUGGAUCUCAUUCAGUUUUUGAGUGGGAAGGAGGUGCAUGAGGUCUUCCUUUUGCUGAGAUUUUGUACACAGUGGACCAUCAUUUACUGCUGAUGUCUUUGUUCCAGAAUUUUAGGUUAUACAAAAAUGGGAUUCAAAUAAACCCAUCGCUUUGUAUGUAAUGAAACAAUAUGGAUGUAAUGCAGAGUUAGAUGACAUUGUGAAUAAUGCUCUAUAAAUGACCUCAUGAGAUGGAAAAA